rnacentral:rRNA from 1 species
UGGGGAAUAUUCCGCAAUGGACGAAAGUCUAACGGAGCAACGCCGCGUGAGUGAUGAAGGUUUUCGGACUGUAAAGCUCUGUUGUUUAGGACGAAAGUGCCUGUUGCGAAUAGUUACAGGUAUUGACGGUGCUGAACGAGGAAGCCACGGCUAACUACGUGCCAGCAGCCGCGGUAAUACGUAGGUGGCAAGCGUUGUCCGGAAUUAUUGGGCGUAAAGAGCAUGUAGGCGGGAAUCUAAGUCUGUUGUGAAAAUGCGGGGCUCAACCCCGUAGUGCGGUGGAAACUGGGUUUCUUGAGUGCAGGAGAGGAAAGGGGAAUUCCCAGUGUAGCGGUGAAAUGCGUAGAUAUUGGGAGGAACACCAGUGGCGAAGGCGCCUUUCUGGACUGUGUCUGACGCUGAGAUGCGAAAGCCAGGGUAGCGAACGG